rnacentral:lncRNA from 1 species
GGGUGCGAGGAUCAGGGAUCAACAUAGCCAGCAGAUUAAAAGGUAAUUUCAUACAUUUUCAAGGAGGUAAAUCAUAUGGGAAUACCAUAAUGGGCCACAUACUAUAUGUAGUGCUAACAUUACCAUACGGAAUAAACCCAUCUAUUGCCAACCCUAGCCUGACAUUUCAUAAAUCAAUCGCAAACCAUGGAUGUUCAUGAU